UACGGGGGGAGCAAGCGUUGUUCGGAUUUACUGGGCGUAAAGAGCGCGCAGGCGGCUUGGUAAGUCGGAUGUGAAAUCCCGAGGCUCAACCUCGGGUCUGCAUCCGAUACUGCCCGGCUAGAGGUAGGUAGGGGAGAUCGGAAUUCCUGGUGUAGCGGUGAAAUGCGCAGAUAUCAGGAGGAACACCGGUGGCGAAGGCGGAUCUCUGGGCCUUACCUGACGCUCAGGCGCGAAAGCUAGGGGAGCGAACUGG
rnacentral:rRNA from 1 species